AUUGAACGCUGGCGGCAUGCCUUACACAUGCAAGUCGAACGGCAGCACGGGUGCUUGCACCUGGUGGCGAGUGGCGAACGGGUGAGUAAUACAUCGGAACGUACCUUAUCGUGGGGGAUAACGCAGCGAAAGUUGCGCUAAUACCGCAUACGCCCUGAGGGGGAAAGCGGGGGACCGUAAGGCCUCGCGCGAUUAGAGCGGCCGAUGUCUGAUUAGCUUGUUGGUGAGGUAAAAGCUCACCAAGGCGAUGAUCAGUAGCUGGUCUGAGAGGACGAUCAGCCACACUGGGACUGAGACACGGCCCAGACUCCUACGGGAGGCAGCAGUGGGGAAUUUUGGACAAUGGGGGCAACCCUGAUCCAGCAAUGCCGCGUGAGUGAAGAAGGCCUUCGGGUUGUAAAGCUCUUUUGUCAGGGAAGAAACAGCAGCUCUAACACAGUCUGCGAAUGACGGUACCUGAAGAAUAAGCACCGGCUAACUACGUGCCAGCAGCCGCGGUAAUACGUAGGGUGCGAGCGUUAAUCGGAAUUACUGGGCGUAAAGCGUGCGCAGGCGGUUAUACAAGACAGGCGUGAAAUCCCCGGGCUUAACCUGGGAAUGGCGUCUGUGACUGUAUAGCUAGAGUGUGUCAGAGGGGGGUGGAAUUCCACGUGUAGCAGUGAAAUGCGUAGAUAUGUGGAGGAACACCAAUGGCGAAGGCAGCCCC
rnacentral:rRNA from 1 species